rnacentral:lncRNA from 1 species
UUAAGUCUAGUGAGGAAUAUUGUUCUAGGAGAGGGCAUAAUUGUAAAUUCACCACGAGUAGAUUUUUUUUUUUGAGUAAAUAUUCCGUGGGAAGUGAUUAUUUUGGUUGGGAGCUAAACCAUUUGAAAAUAUCUUACUUGUAUAUUUUGGGAUUGGUCUUAGUAUCUAGUUGGUUUGCGAGCUUCGUCAUUGAAAAAUAU